rnacentral:rRNA from 1 species
UACAGAGGGGGCAAGCGUUGUUCGGAAUUACUGGGCGUAAAGGGCGCGUAGGCGGCCGCCUAAGUCAGACGUGAAAUCCCUCGGCUCAACCGGGGAACUGCGUCUGAUACUGGGUGGCUUGAAUUCGGGAGAGGGAUGCGGAAUUCCAGGUGUAGCGGUGAAAUGCGUAGAUAUCUGCAGGAACACCCGUGGCGAAAGCGGCGCGCUGGACCACAACUGACGCUGAGGAACGAAAGCUAGGGGAGCAAACAGG